AACGAACGCUGGCGGCAGGCUUAACACAUGCAAGUCGAGCGCCCCGCAAGGGGAGCGGCAGACGGGUGAGUAACGCGUGGGAAUCUACCCAUCUCUACGGAAUAACGCAUGGAAGCGUGUGCUAAUACCGUAUACGUCCUUCGGGAGAAAGAUUUAUCGGAGAUGGAUGAGCCCGCGUUGGAUUAGCUAGUUGGUGGGGUAAAGGCCUACCAAGGCGACGAUCCAUAGCUGGUCUGAGAGGAUGAUCAGCCACACUGGGACUGAGACACGGCCCAGACUCGUACGGGAGGCAGCAGUGGGGAAUAUUGGACAAUGGGCGCAAGCCUGAUCCAGCCAUGCCGCGUGAGUGAUGAAGGCCCUAGGGUUGUAAAGCUCUUUCACCGGUGAAGAUAAUGACGGUAACCGGAGAAGAAGCCCCGGCUAACUUCGUGCCAGCCGCCGCCGUAAGAC
rnacentral:rRNA from 1 species